CUGAGUGAUCUGGACUGGAACCCUGUACUGGAAAUGGAAGAGCAUAGUGGCAACCAAACAAACAAUAUGUAGAGUCUAUCACAGUUGGCAGGAAAUAGAUCCCUGACAUCAGAAGAACACAAUGUGUUGGGCCAACCCAAUAAGAUAAAAAGACAUUUGCACUAACUAGCCACUGUGAUGGAUACAGAGCAAGGAUUAAGUAUCUUCAAGAGGCAAAUUGAAGACUCAUUCUUUUAAAGUUGGAGGUCAUCUGCAGUUUGUGGGGAAAACAAGUGAGGCACUGUUUCAGGAGACAGAUGUAUGUCCUUCCACUCUCUUGUUCAUUGUCAGCACAUGAUCCAUAAUUUAGCUCCAGAGAUAUUCCAAGAUACUGACAGGAGGAUUGAACCCAGGGCCCCACAUCCAGAUGAGUGCCCUAAUCACUGGGCUAAAGCUUAGAAAGGAGGCAGUAGCAGAAUCAUCAUCACUUCCUACUUCUCACACCACUUUGUGAAUGGAGCCUAAGUCCUGAAAACAAAUUGUUUGGGGGGCCAAAAUUGUUUGGUUAAUUUGUUUGCAUUUUCUGGUGAAUAAACUAUGCUUCCAAGUUC